rnacentral:rRNA from 1 species
GAUGAACGCUGGCGGCGUGCUUAACACAUGCAAGUCGAACGAAGCAUUUAAGACAGAUUUCUUUGGGAUGAAGUUUUUUANGACUGAGUGGCGGACGGGUGAGUAACGCGUGGGUAACCUGCCUCACACAGGGGGACAACAGUUGGAAACGACUGCUAAUACCGCAUGACGCAUAGAGGUCGCAUGAUCUUUAUGCCAAAAGAUUUAUCGCUUCAAGAUGGCCUCGCGUCUGAUUAGCUGGUUGGCGGGGUAACGGCCCACCAAGGCGACGAUCAGUAGCCGGACUGAGAGGUUGAACGGCCACAUUGGGACUGAGAUACGGCCCAGACUCCUACGGGAGGCAGCAGUGGGGAAUAUUGGGCAAUGGGCGCAAGCCUGACCCAGCAACGCCGCGUGAAGGAAGAAGGCUUUCGGGUUGUAAACUUCUUUUAAGAGGGAAGAGCAGAAGACGGUACCUCUAGAAUAAGCCACGGCUAACUACGUG